GACGAACCGUGCGAACGUUGUUCGGAAUCACUGGGCUUAAAGGGCGCGUAGGCGGGUGACCAAGUCAGGGGUGAAAUCUUUCGGCCCAACCGGAAAAGUGCCUCUGAUACUGGUCGUCUUGAGGGAGGUAGGGGUCGAGGGAACUGGUGGUGGAGCGGUGAAAUGCGUAGGUAUCACUAGGAACGCCGGUGGCGAAAGCGCUCGACUGGACCUCUUCUGACGCUGAGGCGCGAAAGCCAGGGGAGCAAACGGG
rnacentral:rRNA from 1 species